UACGAGGGGGGCGAGCGUUGUUCGGAAUUAUUGGGCGUAAAGGGCGCGUAGGCGGUGCGGUAAGUCACCUGUGAAACCUCUAGGCUUAACCUAGAGCCUGCAGGCGAAACUGCCGUGCUGGAGUGUGGGAGAGGUGCGUGGAAUUCCCGGUGUAGCGGUGAAAUGCGUAGAUAUCGCUUGGAACACCGAUAGCGUAGGCAGGCUUCUGGGUGCCACCUG
rnacentral:rRNA from 1 species